rnacentral:rRNA from 1 species
UACGAAGGGGGCUAGCGUUGCUCGGAAUCACUGGGCGUAAAGCGCACGUAGGCGGAUUGCCAAGUCAGGGGUGAAAUCCUGGAGCUCAACUCCAGAACUGCCUUUGAUACUGGCGACCUUGAGUCCGGGAGAGGUGAGUGGAACUGCGAGUGUAGAGGUGAAAUUCGUAGAUAUUCGCAAGAACACCAGUGGCGAAGGCGGCUCACUGGCCCGGUACUGACGCUGAGGUGCGAAAGCGUGGGGAGCAAACGGG